ensembl:snoRNA
ACUGUUGCUUAACUUCAGCACUUUGGGUCAGUAGAUGACAGAGAGAAGAGAAGCCAGGUCCACACUCAGUGUUCUGACCUGUAAACCUUUGAAUAUUUACAGUCUAAAAGU